UAGGCUACCCAGAAAAUUUGAAAUGCUGUGUUCUAUUGUGUUACUCCUGGUUUUCGCUGAUCUCGUCUUAGGUGGUUUAUUAGGGAAACCGACGGUGCAAUAUAUGAAUUACUGCCGUAGUAACGACGAUUGUAAGAUACAGGAAGAAUGCAAGAAAUCAAUAAUGUAUAACAAGAAAUACUGCCAACCUAGCACAAGAGGUGGGGGAUAGUAUUCGAAAUAAAUCAUUCCUUUUAACCGAUG